rnacentral:lncRNA from 1 species
CUCUGUUGUUGACUUGUAGAGGCGAUCAUGAGCUUGAAGUUGCAGACGAACUAUAGAUAAAUAGAGAACAACGACUCUCUGUUGUUGACUUGUAGAGGCGAUCAUGAGCUUGAAGUUGCAGACGAUGUACUCACGAGACUCAAAAGAAUAAAACUGUGUACAAAAUAUGAUUUUCAAGUUGGCACGUCUCCAGUGGAUUAUUGUAAUGGAAUACUCUUGAGCAAUCGAGUAGCUGAAUAGAUCAUUAAUCUUUGAGAGUUUUAACAAGAUGCACCCAACGCAAAUAAUAGGCCAAAUCAAAUUCAACAAAUGUCCUUGGCAAUUCGAACUCUGAAGAAGUCCACCAGUGUGAAAUUAAGGCAAAAUCAAACUCCAAAAUCACCGGCAAUUCUUCCAAAGUAGCAGCGAUGAAAAAAACUAUAGCAACGCAGAAUGAAGGCUGUGUUUGAUGUGGUUGCGUGGUGAUUAAGCGAUUCUGUGUUGGCUUUGGGCAGUGGAGCAAAACAUUGAUACAACUGAGAGAUGUGUGAUGCUGACGUGGCAGUGGAUUGCUGGCAGUUGGCGACGAAAGGUGGUUGCAAGGGAAGCGGCACAACGAAGCAGGGAUGGAGGUCAGAGAAGGUGUUGUGUGGCGAUUGGUGGGUUGCCAGCGAUGGCUGUGAAGUGGGUCGCCGACGUGGGGAACAUCGUACGAAUUGCGGUUGGAUGGUCGCUGGCUUGUAGCGAAGUCGCCGAUGUGGAGGAGAUAUUUAGGUUCUGGGUGGUUUGGGUAUUGGGUUGAUUAUAUGGGCUGGGUAAAGGCUAUGUUGAAAUGGGUCAAGUGAUAAUGAAAUUGGGUAGUUAGGUUUAAGUGAUAAUGAGAUUGGGUAGAUUGAGUAAUGGGUGAUUUGGAUAUUUUUAAUCUUGGGCCUGUGUGGUGGAGAUGGGAUGGAGUUUGGAUUGUGUAAUGGAAAUGGGCAGGUUAGGGUUUGUGUUUUGGUG